UGAUUGGCUACUGCACUGUCCUUCUCGGGUUUUUACGAUCUGCCCCACUUUACAUAUGAAAUUGUAUUUUUCGCACAUGACCACCACAUGUCAGUGUUAAGAGUUGGUUCAAAUAUUCAAACUACAAAAUACAAUGUGGCAAAUCGUCAAUAUAGCUUCCCCUUCUCCUCUUCUCCAUCUGACGGACAAAGGCAUCGAGCAGAUCGGGCAAUUCCUCUGUUUCUUUCCCCAUCUUCUCAUUCUUCUUCCUCUCGAGCAAUUCCUCUGUUUCUUCCUCUCGGGCGAUAUGUCGACCUCCUUGUCAGCCCCCCGUUCCACGUGGCCGGUGUAUGGUCCAGUGCCGAUGACUCGAUGCACUGACUGCCCACGAACUGCGUCACUGAAGCGGUUGACUUUGAAGGAGGAGAAGAAUGGGAACUUUGGGCGCGAGUUCGUCAAAUGCGAGAGCAAGCCGGAGGGGCAGAUCGUGAAGAAAUGCCACCAUUUCGAGUGGAUGGAUGAUUACAUCUAGAGGCUUCAAAGGUUGGGCUUGCUGGAUUCGAGGGGGAAUGCAAUCCACGAGUUCAAUCUGCCCCAUGACAGUGCCGCUCCGGCAGCAGCAGCGCGUCCGGAAUACCCGACGGUGGUAGAUGUCGAACUAAAGACGGAAUUGAAGAAGAUGAACAAGAACUUCAAGCAGCUGAUUGAGUUGAAGAAGCAAUCCAAUCUGAUAGCUUUAGGAAUACUUGCUCUAGGAAUUUUUUACUUGAUGGCCAUCUCUCGUUAGAGAUGUUUGUCUAUUGUUGUUGCCACUGUUUAGCAAUCCAAGUCUGUUUAUCUCAAAUGCAACUCUGUUUAGUGCAACUGUCGAUCUCUGAAUGUAUGCAGUUUACUGUUAAGUUUCGACACUUUCAGUUUCGGCAGAAGACAACUACCAGUUCAGUGAUAGGAUUAUUUUGUUAGCAAAUAACCUUGAGUGUUGGAUCAUACCCUAGCUCGUCAGAUGACAGUAAGCAGUACUUGAGCAGCACAAGGGAUAUACAUCAAGUUCAUCUCUUCUCUCUCGCACUUGCCAAACUUUUGUCCUCGAGUUCGUUAGUUCUGCUAGAAACCUAGUUCGCGGGCCCAAAGAGAAUCAAGCUGCAAUAGGCCCACAAAGGAUAAAUGAGGCCCAAAAACAAGCGAUGUUUCUUUUUUUUGUUUAGGAACGAUUGCUUUGUCCUUUUUUGUUUCUGA